ACUGAGUCAAGCUUGAAUUACCAGAAAUUGAGUUCAUUCCAGAACAGCAGAAGAAUUACAAUUGGGAAAUGCCAACUGCACCAACCCAGGCUCAAGUCUGUAGAGGGUCCGCAGCGGGAGCCCAGCCGCAGUUCAAGCGAAAGCAGAAGAGAAAAACAAAACAAAACAAAACAAAAGAAAACCUCAAUAUCUAAGGGACAGCAGAAGCAGGAAGCGCUUCUGGAGCAGAGCUGUCAUCCUUUCCUGGAAGCUGCUGCUCAGUAGCCUGUCUCCACCGAAAUGCUAAUGGUGACAACACAGGCAGAUUCUGGAAGGGGAACUCAAGGAUUCACAGGUCAGACAUGUCUGUUAACAGCAUGGUGAGUCCCUUUUGACGUUGGAAAGAGAAGGAAUUAGGACUGUUAAACUUUAUAUAUAUUCUUCACUAGCUGGAUAAAAAAAAAAUCCCAGUUUUUGAUACUGAGGUUCUAGAAACUCUAGGAAGAGGCUUCUUCCAGUUGUGUGCUCAAUCGUGUUUGACUCUGC
rnacentral:lncRNA from 1 species